GUGGGGAAUUUUGGACAAUGGGGGAAACCCUGAUCCAGCCAUUCCGCGUGAGUGAAGAAGGCCUUCGGGUUGUAAAGCUCUUUUGUCCGGAACGAAACGGUUACGGCUAACACCUGUGACUACUGACGGUACCGGAAGAAUAAGCACCGGCUAACUACGUGCCAGCAGCCGCGGUAAUACGUAGGGUGCGAGCGUUAAUCGGAAUUACUGGGCGUAAAGCGUGCGCAGGCGGUUUUGUAAGCCAGAUGUGAAAUCCCCGGGCUUAACCUGGGAAUGGCAUUUGGGACUGCAAGGCUUGAGUGCGGCAGAGGAGACUGGAAUUCCUGGUGUAGCAGUGAAAUGCGUAGAUAUCAGGAGGAACACCGAUGGCGAAGGCAGGUCUCUGGGCUGACACUGACGCUCAUGCACGAAAGCGUGGGGAGCAAAC
rnacentral:rRNA from 1 species